AUGCACGCUGGCGGCGUGCCUAAUACCUGCCAGUCGAGCGAACAGACGAGGAGCUUGCUCCUCUGACGUUAGCGGCGGACGGGUGAGUAACACGUGGAUAACCUACCUAUAAGACUGGGAUAACUUCGGGAAACCGGAGCUAAUACCGGAUAAUAUAUUGAACCGCAUGGUUCAAUAGUGAAAGACGGUUUUGCUGUCACUUAUAGAUGGAUCCGCGCCGCAUUAGCUAGUUGGUAAGGUAACGGCUUACCAAGGCAACGAUGCGUAGCCGACCUGAGAGGGUGAUCGGCCACACUGGAACUGAGACACGGUCCAGACUCCUACGGGAGGCAGCAGUAGGGAAUCUUCCGCAAUGGGCGAAAGCCUGACGGAGCAACGCCGCGUGAGUGAUGAAGGUCUUCGGAUCGUAAAACUCUGUUAUUAGGGAAGAACAAAUGUGUAAGUAGCUAUGCACGUCUUGACGGUACCUAAUCAGAAAGCCACGGCUAACUACGUG
rnacentral:rRNA from 1 species